CGUUCGAUGCUGGAAGGAGCAUUCACAAUAGUGAACAAGUGAGAAUAUAUCCCUUUGUUUACAUAGUAGAAGAGUACACAAUACAAAAACCAAUAAAUAGGUUAUAAAGUCAUAGACGAGUAUUCCGAAAAAAUGGAAAUCAAAAUCUACAAUAUCAAGAAUAUUAAUUAUACUUUUAUAUUUCGAUAGUAAAACACUUGGAAGAAAAGAAACUUGUCCGACAUGGGAGAAUGUUAUUCAUCAGUCAACUCCAUUGCAAUAUACGCUCUUAUCGAACUAUGUAUGUAAGACAUUGUAUAUGAACGAAUAUCGAAUUUACAAGAAAAUGCGUUCAUAUAGUAUUUAUUGGAGCAAUGAAGGUUUUUGAAGUGUUAUUCUCUUAAAGAAAUUAUUACCAAAAAAAAAUAUUUAAAUGGUAUAGAAAAAACGUUAGAGAGGAAUUUGGAAAAAUAAAAAUAUGUACAGCAUUUUAAUUGUACAGGAAUUAAUUUAAUAAAUUAAAUGUACCAAAAUAUUUGAUUUAUGGAAGAAAUUUUUGAAAAUAAUAAGAAAGAAUUCCAAGAACUAAAACGAGAAGAGCAACAAUACGAAAAAUGAGGAAAAUACAUUAAAAACGAAUAAGUAACAAGCAUUAUUUCAUAUUUUAUUGUAAGGAAGAAUUUUCGAGCUGGAGAAAUGAUGUUUUUGCGCAAAAAAGCAAUGUUUUACUCGGUUAUUUCUGUAGAAAUGGUAUAUUUUGACCUUUAUCGCUGUUGCAUCAAAUGAGGGCUUUAUUGCGUAGAUAUUGUUCUAAAACAAUCCUUUUCCAACAAUCCUUUGAACACAAUUAAUAAAUGGGAGAACAAAAUUGGUUUUCUUUCAAGUAAAAAUAUUGUAAAUUUUUGCUCUAUGACAUAUUAUUUGCCAAUUGUCUUAUAUGAAACCAAGAUGCGCAAAAAUUAAAUUUCUUUUCUGGAAGCUUUAAGAAUAAUAUAAAGACCGAGUUGCAGCGAAUGAUCUGGAAUCUUUGCAACUUUAAUUGUUUAGGCUUACAACAUUUUCUUUUAAAUUUAAAUUAAUUUUAUAUUAAAAGAAAUAACAGAAUUUAAAGCAGCAAAUAAAGCAUUUGCAGUAUUUGUAAUAGUAGAACAACUCGGUCAAGGAGAAUUAUCAGAAUCCGAACCACCAAAUGAAUGCAUUGGAAAUAAUGGGUACCAACCGCUAAUAUGUUGUGCC